rnacentral:rRNA from 1 species
CCUACGGGAGGCUGCAGUGGGGAAUAUUGGACAAUGGGGGGAACCCGGAUCCAGCCAUGCCGCGUGUGUGAAGAAGGCCCUCGGGUUGUAAAGCACUUUCAGGGAGGAAGAACGCCUGGUGGUUAAUACCCAUCAGGAAAGACAUCACUCACAGAAGAAGCACCGGCUAACUCCGUGCCAGCAGCCGCGGUAAUACGGAGGGUGCGAGCGUUAAUCGGAAUUACUGGGCGUAAAGCGCGCGUAGGUGGCUUGAUAAGCCGGUUGUGAAAGCCCCGGGCUCAACCUGGGAACGGCAUCCGGAACUGUCAAGCUAGAGUGCAGGAGAGGAAGGUAGAAUUCCCGGUGUAGCGGUGAAAUGCGUAGAGAUCGGGAGGAAUACCAGUGGCGAAGGCGGCCUUCUGGACUGACACUGACACUGAGGUGCGAACGCGUGGGUAGCAAACAGGAUUAGAUACCCCUGUAGUC